rnacentral:rRNA from 1 species
CGCAGGCGGUCGUUCAAGUCGAGUGUGAAAGCCCCCGGCUCAACUGGGGAGGGUCAUUCGAUACUGAUCGACUCGAAGGCAGGAGAGGGUAGUGGAAUUCCCGGUGUAGUGAUGAAAUGCGUAGAUAUCGGGAGGAACACCAGUGGCGAAGGCGACUACCUGGCCUGUUCUUGACGCUGAGGCGCGAAAGCUAGGGGAGCAAACG